rnacentral:rRNA from 1 species
UUGGAGGGCAAGUCUGGUGCCAGCAGCCGCGGUAAUUCCAGCUCCAAUAGCGUAUAUUAAAGUUGUUGCAGUUAAAAAGCUCGUAGUUGAAUUUCGGGGUCUGUCUAUCGGUCGGGCUUCACUGUCCGUACUGGUUUGAUGGUUUCUUACCUUCUGAAUAACCAUCAUGCCAUUAAUUUGGUGCGUUGGGGAAGGAGAGCUAUUACCUUGAAAAAAUUAGAGUGCUUAAAGCAGGCUAGCGUUUGAAUAGAUUAGCAUGGAAUAAUGAAAUAGGACGGCAUGGUUCUAUUUUGUUGGUUUCUAGGAUCACCGUAAUGAUUAAUAGGGAUAGUUGGGGGCAUUAGUAUUCAAUUGUCAGAGGUGAAAUUCUUGGAUUUAUUGAAGACUAACUACUGCGAAAGCAUUUGCCAAGGAUGUUUUCAUUAAUCAAGAACGAAAGUUAGGGGAUCGAAGACGAUCAGAUACCGUCGUAGUCUUAACCAUAAACUAUGCCGACUAGGGAUCGGACGAAAAGUAUUUUUU